rnacentral:rRNA from 1 species
UACGGAGGGUGCAAGCAUUAAUCGGAUUUACUGGGCGUAAAGGGCGCGUAGGCGGGCAAGCAAGUCUCAUGUGAAAUUCCGGAGCUCAACUCCGGAGCUGCAUGGGAAACUGCAUGUCUAUAGAGGGAUGGCGGAGAAAAUGGAAUUCCACGUGUAGCGGUGAAAUGCGUAGAUAUGUGGAAGAACACCAGUGGCGAAAGCGGUUUUCUAGCUAUUUCCUGACGCUGAGGCGCGAGAGCAUGGGGAGCAAACAGG